CUCAACUUAACUAACAAACGAUCGUCUAUCGUUACUAUUUCGAGAACUUUACUGAAUAUAACAAACCUUUUGUUUACAAUUCGAAACAGAAUUUAUGUACAUCAGAAUAUCACACAUCCGUCAUGCUUUAUAUUUGUUAAGUAUAAAAGAGUUAAGUGUCUAUAGUUAUAAAAAUUAAAAGACAGUUCACUUUUUCGGUUGUGAUCACUCAAUUCCACUAUUUUCUCAUUUCAGCAACGAAAUCUUGGUUUCUCAAACGUAGUACAGAGUAGUCUGCCGCCAAAGCUUGCUACCACCGGGGCAAAGUCGCCCAAGGAUUGGUACGAUGUACAAAUACAAAUGUUGAUCAAUCUCGGCUUGGAUUUCAACGACAUGCGAGGAUAUUUUCAAAAUUCUACAACGACGAAAACAUGCAUCAUUCCCGCUUGUUAGAGAUGAAACGUGCCACACUAUUUUGGAAUAAUUGAAUAAAAAAU